ensembl:lncRNA
GAAGAGGCUACGGGUCCCCGCGAGGCUCAACCGCAGCGGCAACGUCGCACUCUGAACCGAACGCGCCGGCGGAACCGGUCCCGGCGACGGCCGCGGCCGCAGCAGCAGCAGGUUCACCUCCAGGAACAAAGCACGCAGACGGACAUUGAGCCGCCGGGGAAGAGUCGCCACGCAGCGGCUUCUGCGCUAACGCGGUUGAAACGCGAAGCAGCUCGGUACGCACCCGCGUAGGAAGAUUCAGGCGCCGAGAGACGACACGUCCGACUCCCGCCCCCCAAUAAAGGGUGAACCGUGGUGGAAUUGUUAUAAAUACAAUAAAAUUCCCCACUUUGUCUUUGAGGAGAAUUCAUUCCCAAGAGUUGUGUGCGAUCCACGAAGUGUGUUACAGUUGGACGGCUUUCUUUCCGGGGUCCCAAAAAGCAACACUGCGCCUCGAGAGGCGAUUCAUCCAUCAAAGUGUCCGGCUGUUUGUCUUCUGUUUGACGUAUUUGCAGCAUGACGUAAAUGCUCCGUGUCGUUGGACUGCAAGAAAUGAGGUGAACAAGUUGGCCCCGUUCGCAUGGCAGUGAGAGCACAAGCAGCACCACAAUAACCUGUUGGAGAUAAUUGAAUUGCGCAGAAGGCAGAGGACCACGUCAGCUUAUAGACCGCCGUUGUUCAUUUGCUGAUAGAACAAAAGGCCUGAUGGAAAUACGAAGCCGUCUCCGUCCCUCCUGCUGCUUCUUUUGCCAAAACCUGCAGCCUGCCGAGGGAGUUUGGGCACAAAAGUUGCCUGAAGGGCAAGUGAGGUUCAGCACCACGGAC